ensembl:snoRNA
AGCCACCGCACCCGGCCGGGCUGUAUUCUUACACUGACUGUAUAGAAAGAGGAGAUAGAGUAAACCUACCCCAUAUAUACUUCAGCCCACGCCCUGUGCCUGUUCUGUAUUAUGAAGCUGGGUUGG